rnacentral:tRNA from 1 species
GCGGGAGUAGCUCAAUUGGUAGAGCGUCAGCCUUCCAAGCUGAUUGUCGUGGGUUCGAUUCCCAUCUCCCGCU